rnacentral:lncRNA from 1 species
CGCACGGUGCGCGCACCCACUGGCCUGCGCCCACUGUCUGGCACUCCCUAGUGAGAUGAACCCGGUACCUCAGAUGGAAAUGCAGAAAUCACCCGUCUUCUGCGUCGCUCACGCUGGGAGCUGUAGAGCGGAGCUGUUCCUAUUCGGCCAUCUUGGCUCCUCCGGCUUACAUUCUUAGGGAUUACUUUCCUCACUUUGUUAUAUAUCCUGGAAGCUAUGAACAAUGAUGCUUCUUCAUACUCUUCAACCUCAUCAUGAUACCUUGCACGAAGCAGGAGCUCAACUAAUUUGGGUUGAGGCCAGAAUGCCAAUAGUGAGCAAAAAAGGAUGAUAUUUGACACUUGGCAUUGAAUAUCUGAAUCAUGAUGUCCACAUAACUACAGCUAUGCACCACAUAAUGAUGUUUUACUCAACAACAGACCACAUAUACAAUGGUGGUUUCAUAAGGCUAUAAAGGAGCUGAAAAUUUCUUACCACCUCAUGUCCUCAUGUCAUAGUGCAACAUAUUGCUCUUGUGUUUGCAGUGAUGCUGGCAUAAACAAACCCACUGUGCUUUCAGUUGUAUAAAACUGUAGCCCAUACAAUCAUGUACAGUACAUAAUACUCAAUGAUGAUAAACUAAAUGACUAUGUUACUGGUUUAUGUAUUUACUAUACUAUACUUUCUGUCAUUAUUUUAGAGUGUUCUUCCACUCGUUAAAAAAAAAAAAGUGUACUAUAAGACAGUUUCGGGCAGGUCCCUCAGGUGGUAUUCCAGAAGAACGUAUUAUUAUUAUAGGAGAUGACAGCUCCAUGCAUGCUAAUCCCGCUAAAGAAUUUUCAGUGUGACAAGAUAUGGUGGUGGAAGACAGUGAUAUAGAUGAUGCUGACCCUGUGUAGGCCUAGGGUAAUAUGUCUGUUUGUGUCUCUGUUUUCCACAAAAAAAGUUUAAAAAGUAAAAAGUAAUUAACAGAAAAAAGCUUAUAGAAUAAGAAUAUAGGCCAGGUGUGGUGGCUUAUGCCUGUAAUCCCAGCACUUUGGGAGGCUGAGGCGGGUGGGUCACAAGGUCAAGAGAUUGAGCCCAUCCUGGCCAACAUGAUGAAACCCCAUCUCUACUAAAAAUACAAAAAUUAGCUGGGUGUGGUGGCGCAUGCCUGUAAUCCCAGCUACUCGGGAGGCUGAGGUAGGAGAAUCACUUGAACCCGGGAAGUGGAGGUUGCACUGAGCCAAGACUGUGCCAUUGCACUCCAGCCUGGGCAACAAGAGUGAAACUCUGCCUCAAAAAAAAAAAAAAAAAAAAAGGAAUUAAAAAAAAGAAUAUAAAGAAGAAUAUAAAGAAAGAAAAAAUAUUUGUGUACAGCCGUAUGUGUUUAUGUUUUAAACUGUCAUUACAAAAGUAUCAAAAAGUUUUAAAAAGUGUAUAAAGCAAAAAGUUACAGUAAGCUAAAAUUUAUUGUUAAGGAAAGAAAAAUAUAUUUUUAAUAAACUUAGUGUAGACUAAGGGUACAGUAUUUAUAAAGUCUACAGUGGUACACAGUAAUGUCACAGGCCUUCAUAUUCACUCACCACUCACUCACUGACUCACCCAGAGCAAAUUCCAGUCCUGCAAGCUUCAUUCAUGAUAAGUGUCCUAUACAUGCAUACCAUUUUUCAAUCUUUCAUAUCGUAUCUUUACGGUACUUUUUCUAUGUGUAGGUAUAUUUACAUAUGCAAGUACUUACCACUGUGUUCCAGUUUUCUAAAGUACUCAGUACAGUCACAUGCUGUACCAGUUUGUAGCCUAGGAACAACAGGCUGUACCAUACAGCAGAGGUGGAGUAGGCUAUGUACUCUAGGUUUGUAUGAGCACCUUCUAUCAUGUUCACACAAUGAUAAAAUUGCCUAAAAAUUCAUUUCCUAGAACAUAUCCCCAUUGUUAAGCAAGGCAUGACUGUAUUUGGUGACUGGGAAAAUAAAUUCCUAUUUGGAAUUUAUUUAUGCCAAAGAAAUGAAAUAAAUAUAUGAAAGUUCUUCUAAGCUGUAACUUGCCAUUCAUAGUUUUAUCCCUAUGAAAAAGAAAAUGAAAUAAAGCAAAUAUCAAGAAUCACAUUAAUGAAUCAUACUAAUUAUCUAUUUGAACAAUAACUUAGUGUUUUAUGGUGUACACAACAAUUAUUUCAAAUAAAAUGAUUUUUUAUUUUGCAUCCAUUUAUAUUUGGCAUAUUUUUGACAUUUUUCAAGAAGCAAAAAUGGUACAUUUUCUGUGGACAUAGCUUGGGAAGAAAACUUAAGUCCAGUGGCCAGAAAGGAAAUAGGUGUUGAGACAAGAAUAAAAUACCAAUGCUUCCUUUUAUAUUUGUGCAUUGAACCUAUUUUAUUUAAUUCUAUAAGCCAUUUUUCAGAUGUCACCAAAGUUUAAACUGCUACUGGGUAUAAAAUUUAAAAUAAAUUGCCUUUGGAAAACUCUAAAAACUAAAAACAAAAACAAAAACAAAAAAAAACUAGGUUUGGCUUAGUUGGACCCCAAAUGGGUUUUUAAAACAUCAGUUGAAAAAUAGACUUCUCGUCUUAGUGCUGUUAUUGUAUGUGUUUUAAUAGCUUCUUUUAAAAAAUUUCCUCUGGAAUAAUAUUCAUUAACUUUCACACUGAAUUUUUACAAAUUAUUAUUUUUAUUACUUUGGCAUGUGUCUAUACUUUAGUUAGGAUGAGUUGCUAUCAUCAGUCAGGCUUCUUCAAAGAAAC